CCCUAGAUAAACAGUGCUUUAUAUUGGUUUUAGAUUAAUAAUCCAUACACAGCACUAGUUUUCUUACUUCAUUUUUCACAUCUCUUUCUCAGGAGUCGAAGAGUUACUGAGAGUUCAGUUCAUCUGUCUUCUCUCAAAUAAAGAGAGACUCCCUGCAAAUAUGUCUAAUCUUCCUUAGCUCUUUCAUAACCAUCACUUUUCCCUCUCUCUGUGGGACAUGAUACGUUUGCUCCGUCAGCUUGAGGUUUAUCGCUGUGUUUAAAGGGGUUCUGUGUUCUGUCAUAGAGGCAGGAGGCCAUAAACACAUAUGAGCAUCUCCCUCACUGUCAAGGCUUUCUGAGUUGUAAUUGGCUGAGAGCUGCACUGUCAGCUGAUUGGCCGGGCUGAGGAUGAAUGGCCACGCUGACAACCAAUGGGGCCAGAUUAGGGUGAGCCGGGUGAGAUAUGGGACGCCGCAUUCUUGAGCAUAAUCAAAUCUUAGGAGCUUUCACUGAUGGUGUGUGAAUCAGUUUGUAUCAAGAGUUCAUAUGCAAGAGGAACCAAGACACACCUCAAAAGAUUCAAACAAGUUUUCUAGCAAGCUAAUAAAGUUUAUAUUGAAGAGGUUUUGGGAUGAAAGGUCACCAGCUGCCCUCUGCUCAGCUUCCCCUCACCACUCCAUCUAGCGCUCCAACAGAAGUGCUGAAAAUAACCUGUGAUGGAUGCAAAUCUGAAGAUUUCCCUCAUUCCCUCCUCCUUUACUCUACCUUUCUCUGCUCAUCAGAUCAUCUCUCGUCAUCCCUAUUAGUCCAGAUGAAGAUGGAUAUGGACAGUCAGUUAUUUAUGGAUUAGGGGUGGAGCUUUGAACCACUCUUGCCAUUCUUUAGUGUCCCUAAAAGCUCUUGGGCAUGUUUCACAUUACCAUCAUUAUCUUCUUUUUCUUUUCUUUUUUUCUGUUUUUACGGCUCCUUGAACGUUUUCUUUUUUGAUGUAUUUAUUAUAUAU